rnacentral:hammerhead_ribozyme from 1 species
ACCAAGCUUACGAAUCGCAAAUAGGACGAAACGCGCGUCCUGGAU